UACGUAGGUGGCAAGCGUUGUCCGGAAUUAUUGGGCGUAAAGCGCGCGCAGGCGGUUUCUUAAGUCUGAUGUGAAAGCCCCCGGCUUAACUGGGGAGGGUCAUUGGAAACUGGGAGACUUGAGUGCAGAAGAGGAGAGUGGAAUUCCACGUGUAGCGGUGAAAUGCGUAGGGAUGUGGAGGAACACCAGUGGCGAAGGCGACUUUCUGGGCUGUAACUGACGCUGAGGCGCGAAAGCGUGGGGAGCAAACAGG
rnacentral:rRNA from 1 species